CGCGCAGGCGGCAUCGCAAGUCGGUCUUAAAAAGUGCGGGGCUUAACCCCGUGAGGGGACCGAAACUGUGGAGCUCGAGUGUCGGAGAGGAAAGCGGAAUUCCUAGUGUAGCGGUGAAAUGCGUAGAUAUUAGGAGGAACACCAGUGGCGAAAGCGGCUUUCUGGACGACAACUGACGCUGAGGCGCGAAAGCCAGGGGAAGCAAACG
rnacentral:rRNA from 1 species